AGCGAUUCUCCUGCCUCAGCCUUCCGAGUAGCUGGGAUUACAGUUUUGGCUUCGUGAUCACGUAAACCAAGAGUCACAAACUGAAAUGCCAUCAAGGGGCCAAGCAGACAGGAUCUUAGCACCUACUAUUUGCAAGACUCCCCCUAUGUUAACCUUUACAGCAACUCUCGGAUGGAUGUUUUAUUAUUGAGAGAACUGAGAGACAGAGGUCAUUAAAUAUUUGUCCAAGAUCCUACAGCCGCAACAUGGUAAAUCCACUGCUAUUGGAACUUCCUGUUAAGUGAGUUCCAUGGCCCCAAACUGCAUUCCCACCCAUGUUGCUCACAGAUUGGUCACAAUGUGGCUCACAGUCAUAGGCACAGGUGAAUGGAUCAACCAUUAUUUUCGAUAAUGAUUCUGGGGUAUCAUCUUUGACUCAAAAACGCAAACUGUUAUUAUUAUCUAUGCAGUCUACAGCCCUCUGCUCUACCAGCUGAGCUAUCGAAGAGUGCACAAGCUGUUAUUAUAUCACAAGA